AUACGGCUGUUGAUAAAAUGAGUAUUGCUCCGUGAUGGAUGGAAUUCGAAGCUGUGAACACGGAGGACGGUCAAAUCCAAAUUAUUUUCCUUUUCAAGCAAUUCUAAGUUCGUGUGAUUCGCCAGCUUUCAACACAGGUGGCGCUCAUCAAUGGCUGUCGAGGAAAAGUCAAUGCGUGAAAAUGACCAUGCCCCACUUCUGGUUUCACUUUGAUAUGAGCUGCUGUAAAAAUUGGACAGAAAUCAGACCAAAUCUGUGUGACUGGAAGGUGACGUGACCUCCUCGGCCAUGCGAGCCAAUGGUGAAAAACAUGCCGAAGGUGACUGUGAAAACCUGGAGCUGGCUCACAUCUCCUCGAGGAAGAAUCUCUGUGAUGAAGAGGGCACCAGGCUGAUCGAGGCAGAUGAGGGCACGUGAUUCAGAGAACCUAGGAGGUCAAGUCCUUUUAAUCCUUUAUGUAUCAUGUGUAUUGCUUUCUGCUUAUUCCGAAAAUUUUAAUUUAACUUCUGAUUUAUUAAUGCCAAACAUACAUUCAGCAAUCUUAUCUUCUAGACCUGAAUAUUAUAUGCGGUGUUGACUUUAAUUCCCAAAUGUAUUUAAGGUUGUCUGGCAACUUAAGGGAUCGACUGAUAUAUAACUCGAGAUGUGUUCUAAUAUCAGCACUUUAUGCAGCUCAUAUUUCCAGGGGUAUCGCCAGAGCCAAAAUGGCGGAGACAGUUUUCCAGUUACCGGCACGUUGACCAUACUAUCCCUCUACUGACCUCUGCUGGAUGAAACACAACAGAACGGCAAAUAACGGCGAUGUUAUUUAUAACAUUUAUUUUAAAUUAUUUUCAUGAUUACAGCACUACAAGUAUAUAGGUUUAUAAAUUUGUAACAGUUAUUUGUCAUAAUAUCAAAAAGAUUUUGUAAGUUUUGUGGUUUAAUUCUCCAAAGAGAUAGAAGAUAAAAGACAAAACAACAUGUAAUGUUAUCAUUUUAUAAUUUUGGGAAUAUAAACAACAAAUGCAGACAAACAUUUUUGGCUCAACUCCUGACAAGUAUUUUUCAUGGCUCAACACUUGGGAAAAGUGGUCACAUACUGAGGUAGUAGGUACAAUACUGACUUGAAACAUUCAAUCAGAAAUAAAAUUGAUAUUACAGUGCUGUCAUUUUAAUCUGAUUUCUUAAGGUGACAUCCAUAUUUGACUCAAUAAUAAUAGGGAAAAUGAUAAAUGAUAAAGUGACAAUAAACAAAUUAAACUUUUUGUUGACAUUAACAAAUAAAUACAUUCUUCCUUCAGCCUGAUUAAAUGUCUCGAGAGGUUUUGAGUAUUGAGUAUUUAUUGCUUAUUUAAUACUUUUAUUUCAUCCAAGAAACACUGCUCAGAUUAGCCUGGUUUUGUUAUUACUGUUCCUUUUGAGUAACUUAUAUAGACUAUAGUAACAAUUUAUGAUAUAAGUCUGGAAUAAAAUAAAUAUAUGUGUAUGUACAUGGAGUUGAUAUUUAGUCCGACCAUUCAUUGUCCUCCAGCUCAGAGUCGUCUUCCGAGUCACUGUACUCUACAGCAAUUCGUCGAGAGAGAAUGGUGGCGACGUCGUUUCCAAGUGGCUUGUUCUGCUGCUCCUGCUCCUCUUGCACUUUCUUCAACUGGAUACCUAAGUAGAGAAAAA